rnacentral:rRNA from 1 species
CUUCUCUGUCGGCGAGUGGCGAACGGGUGAGUAUAGCAUCGGAACGUACCAAGUAGUGGGGGAUAACCAAACGAAAGUUUGGCUAAUACCGCGUAAGCUCCAAGGAGGAAAGUAGGGGACCUAAAUAAGGCCUUACGCUAUUUGAUCGGCCGAUGUCGGAUUAGUUAGUUGGUGGGGUAAUGGCUCACCAAGGCAAUGAUCCGUAGCGGGUCUGAGAGGACGAUCCGCCACACUGGGACUGAGACACGGCCCAG